rnacentral:tRNA from 1 species
GCCUCGGUAGCUCAGCUGGUAGAGCAGCGGCCUCGUAAGCCGCAGGUCCCGGGAUCGAAGCCCGGCCGAGGCUCCA